GUCAAUCAGAUAUCUCCGCAUUUUCUCAAUAUAAAUCCAUCAAACAUAUAAUCCACAAAUCCAAUUAUGAAAGAAAAGAUAACCAAACAAAACCUGAUUACGAAAUUUGAUUCAUCAUAGAAAAAUUAAACAGCAAACAGGGAAAAGGUUAAACACUUCGAUUACUUGAUAACUUUUUUUUAAAUAAAAGUAUUAGAUUUAUUGAUAGACACGAAGGGGGUGCAAACCCAUAUGCAAAAUAUUUAUAUAUCAAUCAAAAUAUCAAUAAGGUUCCAAAAUCCUCAAGAUUAAAAGGAUGACCCUUAAUUAAGAAACCCAGAGUUUAGAACCAACUAUCCUUGACCCUAUCAAAACCUCCUUCAUUGCCCUUAAAAGCAUUUCAAUUUCUUUCCUUACAGACUAUCCAAAAGAUGGCAAGGGAAUAAGGCUGAGAUAUUUCUUCCUGCGACUGAUACUCUUUUACGCCCAAAUUUCCUCCUUCACCGAGCCGACCGUUUACCCAAUUAAUAUCCAAGAUGCCAUAAGCAAGGAUCCAUAGUCUGUAAGCAAAGGGACACCACAGAAGAAUGUGAUUGCACGACUCUGCAUUCUUUUACACAAGUAACAUCCAUUCACCAGAAUCCUUCCCCUCCUAAUCAGCUUAUCCAGAGUUACAAUACACCCUUCAACUGCCUCCCAUGCAAAAAAGACUAUUCUAGGUGAAGCAUUGACCUUCAAGAUUUGCUUGAAAGGAAAGUAUAUAGUCGUGAUCUCCCUUCUAGUCAGGUAAUUGUAAAAAGAUCUAACAAAGAAAAUCCCACUAACAUCGAGGCUCCAAUUGGGUCAGUCUUCUGUCCCAGCCGGUGUAGCCUUGGCAAGAGUGAACAACAAGGCUUUACACUCCCUAAUUUUUCAAUCAUUAAGAUUCCUUAUGACCUCCAUAAAACACUCUGCGUUCUCCAUAUUGCCAAUGUAGGAAUCCUCUAUCAAUGCAUCCUUGUACCGAGCAAUUACAUAAAUCUGAAAAAAUUGAUCUCUGAGAAUACCACCCUCCAACCACACAUCAUGCUAUAGAUUGACUCUAUUGCCAAUUUCAAUCUUCCAUAUGAUGCAGGCUUGGAACUUCUUCUUGUCCAUGCAUAUUUUCUUCCACAUCCUGUUACCAUGGGAUCUAAACACCUCCAUAGUGAACCAACCCUAUGUUCACAGUACCGAAAACUUAGCCUCAAUCACCGUCCACCAAAGAGUCUCAUUUCAUUCAUGAAUCUCCGAAGUCAUUUCCCUUGCAAGGCCCUAUUAACCUCCACCAGUGAUCUUAGACACAGCCCCCCAAGUUGAAUUGGCUUUUUGACCUUAUCCCAUGCCACAGGGUUAUAUCUCCUAUUCCCUUCAAAGCCACUCUAUAAAAAUCUGCAGUAGAUGGACUCCAAUCUCUUAGCCACACUCCGAGGUAUUCAUUCAUGAAUCUCCAAAGUCAUUUCCCUUGCAAAGCCCUAUUAACCUCCACCAAUGAUCUUAGACACAGCCCCCCAAGUUGAAUUGGCUUUUUGACCUUAUCCCAUGCCACACGAUAAUAUCUCCUAUUCCCUUCAAAGUCACUCUAUCAAAAUCUGCACUAGAUGGACUCCAAUCUCUUGACCACACUCCNN
rnacentral:lncRNA from 1 species